ACAAUGUGAGAUGCCCAGGAAGCUUUGCUGUAAUCCUGAAUCUUUAGACUUUUCUAGGAGACUUGGGCAUCACAAGAUCAAAACAGAGACCUUCACACUCAAGUUUUUAAGACAGAGAAAAGUUCCUUGAGCAAAUGCAAGAAACACCAAAAACAAUCCAUUGAUACACUUGGUGACAUUAAUUGAGAAAAAAACAAUAUGGUCUGGCCAUGGAGGCAUGGUAUCCGUAACAUCCCCCAAAGGAGCUAAAGAAGAAAUCCACAAUUUACCAUGAGCAUUUCUCGUCUGAAGAUUGCCAAGCGAUUCCUCCAGGACAUUCCUCAAGAUCAAUUUCUGUUCAUCCACCUUGUCCUGGGAGGGACAUCAAUGGGUUUCCAUGUCCUUUGGCUUCUGGUUGAGUUCACUCAGUGGAGAACCCUGGCAAGAGGCAGGAAAAGGGGAGGAAGGUGAAAACCAUCCAUUUCUUGGAGAAGUGCCACGGUGGGGUUGCAAGUCCCAGGAUCAAGUUUUCGAUGUGUCUCUUUUUCCCGUAAAGUGGCUGAAAUCUGAAGCUGAAUCUGCAAGUGUCAUGGAGUCAUUGAAUCUCACAGUCUCAACUGAUAAAAGUUAUUAAAGGUAAAAAUGGUGCUACCCUUGGAAAUCCAAGAGCAGCUUCAAGAGUCAACUAUACCAGCAAUCCCUAAAGCUGGAGAAUUUAUGCCCAUGGAAAAGUCUGUAGCGUUUUGCAAACUGUGAGGCUGAGGAAUAGACCUAGUUCCUGCAGCAGAUCAAAAUGAAAGAUGCAGAAAUGCAGCAACUAUUGCAGGGAUUCCGUGAGACCAAGGACCUGUCUCCAUAGCAGGGCUGAGGAGGAAGAGGAAGAGGAGGGGUUGGUCUUGCUGUCUCAAGAGUAGCAGAAGCAGAAGAAAAUCCAAGUUGGUCAAAGGAAGAGGAGGAUCAAUGGCCUUUUUUCCUCCCCCCAACCUUUUUUUUUUUUUUUUUUUUUAAACAAAGAAGCAAAGUGAGAACAUUAAGCCCGAAAGAGAACUGUGUUCAUUGCAGGACUUUUUGAGGUCUGGUUAAGCCAUUUAUAUAAAGAAAUUACACAGUUCCUCUUUGGUAACCUCAAUCCUGAAAGUUAGUGUGACAGGCCUACAGCUUUUUGUUCU
rnacentral:lncRNA from 1 species